AAAUUGUGUUUCUAUUAGGUUGCUUCUAUUUGAUUAUUAUACUUUUCUUGCAAUUAUGCUGAGAUAUACUGAUCCUACUUGUGGUGUUGUUGUUAUUGUUGUUGUAAUGGGAAAAAGUUGUGUGUUUUGAUGUUGUUCAUGUGUUGUGGAACUAUUUGUUGUUGUAAUGGAAAAAAAAAGUUUCUUUUUUUCUACUAUUUUGUGUUGUCCGAUGUGUGGUGUUCGUAUUUGUUGUUGUAAUGGAAAAAAGUUGUGUUUUUUGUGUUGUUCAGGAGGAGAAAAAGUGGUGUGUGCAAAAUCUGAUGUUUAUGAGUUUGGAACAACGAGUAUGUUAUACUAUGAUCCAUUAACUGACGUGCAUAAAUUUUUAGAUUUUUGAGGUUGAUGACACAAAGGAGGAUUGUUUGAGCUAGCUACAGGAUGAUGUUUUGUCUUCCAUUCUUGGAUAUUUGACAGUACGUGAUGCUGUUAGGACGACCAUUUUAUCUACUAGGUGGAAAUAUCUGUUUGCCUCUACGCAACUACGAAAACAACCCCCAUUUGAAUUCAGAUGCUUUGAUAUGUUGACGGUUGUUAGUCGUUCUUGUUGCUCUUCCUGUCAAGAAAAAGACAAAUUCAUGAAUGCAUUAUACCAGUUUUUAAGACACUAUGCUGGUUGUAGAGUGGCUCGCGUUCAGAUGGUCAGUUGCUUUGUAAGAGAGUUUCCUAGUGCAUUUACCCAUUGGUUCCAAUCUCUUUCUAGAAUACGUGUUGAAAGCUUACACCUUUCCUUUGAGUGCAUUUUCAAGGACUUAAGCCAGUUGCUUACAUUUUCUCUUGAGGUUCUCUCUCAGUCAUCUUCAUUGGAACAUUUGAUUUUACAAGGCUGUGUUGUGUUAUCAAGUCCUAAAGUCUGUUUAAAUUCUCUCACGACUCUUACUUUGAGUGGUGUUGUGUUAACUAGCGGACAUCUGGAGGGUAUUCUGUCUUCUUGUUCCAACCUUAAGAGGUUAACUAUUGUGUGCUGUAAACUUCCUUAUAAGCUAUGACUCAAUGGUACAGUAAUGGUGGUUGUUAUUUGGGAGUGUGCCGGAGGGAAAGGAAUUGAUCUGCAUGCUGCACAUCUUCGUAUGCUUGAGUGCAAGAUUAAUAACAAUGUAAGAUUUUUUUUCUCAUUUGUACCCGUGCUGGAAAAUGUAAUGGUUUGGCGUGACUUUCAACAUUCAUAUUCAUACGUAUUUGGUGAUUGUGCAAGAGAUUUACCUGGACGGGUUAAAUCUUUAACCCUCCAAUUUACUCCUGAUCAGAUAUAUCCUUCAUUUGAGAACCCAACAGAGAUGCAGAUGUUCAGAAGCCUUAGGAACUUAAGCUUGAAACUUGUGACCAGUCUUGCGAUCGUAGAGAUAUUUGAACUAUCCAGACUUUUGGGUGAUUUUCUCUGCUCCAAUCUUUGAGUUUUGUGGUGAUUAAGCUUCCAGUAACAAGGGAGAUAAGAAGAAGGCGGUCUCCAUCUCCUACACGUCACACUGAACUAAAACAAGUGACAUACGGUGGAUUUAAUGGAUUAGACACCGAGAUGGAGUUUGUUCUUUAUAUUCUAAGAUGUGCAGUAGCACUUGAGCAGAUGUUUCUCAGCCCUGGAUACAAAAAUGAUUUCUCUUUAGAGCAGGAAUCGGUAUUGAACCUUUCAUUCAAUGAAGAGAAACGCAACUUAAUCCAACAACAACUACAUGGGCAAGCUAUCUCUGGGAAAGCUACGGUGAUCAUCCAAUAAGAUAUUGGACAAAUACUCUAUUGGAAAUCAAGGAUUUGCAUACACGCUACUUUUCCCAGACCUCACAUUUGCUAUAGUAGAGCUCUGUUAGUCAGUAGGGACAGGUUCAUCUCUAGGAUCAACCCUCUCACAAGUUCCAACAAAUGCCUUGUCAGGCUUAACGCGGUCUAGUCAGUCUUGAUGAUGUUUGAAAUCCAGAUGGCAUCAUGCUAAAACUUAAAAAGUUUGUUAGAUAAUCUAACCAAAUUGCGGACAAGCUAACUUCUAAAGAAGGGGUUUUCAUGGAAUACAUUUUCCUCCAUACCGAUUGUCAUUUUCACAAUGCGAACUUUGGAGAGGAAAGUGUAUACGCAUAUCUUAGUUCGACCUAUCUUGGAAAUAGAGAGGCUAUUUCCGACAGAUGGUCGACUCGAGGAAAACAUAGAAAUAUAUAUCUGACAAAUUAGUCAAUCAGUCAAAAGUUUGUAGGAGCAAAUUGCAUGCAAGUUACAUGAAUUAUAAACUGUACAAGUCAAUAAAGUGAAGCAACAAAGUCA